rnacentral:rRNA from 1 species
GUGAGGAAUAUUGGUCAAUGGGCGGAAGCCUGAACCAGCCAAGUCGCGUGAAGGAAGAAGGAUCUAUGGUUUGUAAACUUCUUUUGAAGGGGGAUAAAGUGGGUUACGAGUAACCCAUUGCAGGUACCCUUGGAAUAAGCAUCGGCUAACUCCGUGCCAGCAGCCGCGGUAAUACGGAGGAUGCGAGCGUUAUCCGGAUUUAUUGGGUUUAAAGGGUGCGUAGGUGGCUUUUUAAGUCAGCGGUGAAAACUGGCGGCUCAACCGCAAGAGUGCCGUUGAAACUGGGGAGCUAGAGUAUGAACGAGGUAGGCGGAAUGUGUGGUGUAGCGGUGAAAUGCAUAGAUAUCACGCAGAACUCCGAUAGCGAAGGCAGCUUACCAGGCCAUAACAGACACUGAAGCACGAAAGCGUGGGGAUCGAACAGGAUUAGAUACCCGGGUAGUCC